rnacentral:misc_RNA from 1 species
CCAAACUUGGUCAUUUAGAGGAAGUAAAAGUCGUAACAAGGUUUCCGUAGGUGAACCUGCGGAAGGAUCAUUAAAAAGUCUGCCGUCGAGGGACGGCCUUCUUUCAAACCGUGUGAAAACACCCGUUGCUUCGGCCGCCUCUCUCCCGCGAGGGGGAGUGUCAGUCUGUCGGCAGCACCCAUACCAAACCUUUUUUUCUGUAACUGUCUGUCAGUCAACGCAUUAUAAAAUACGUUAAAACUUUCAACAACGGAUCUCUUGGUUCUCGCAUCGAUGAAGAACGCAGC